ensembl:snRNA
GUGUUGUACGAAAGGAGAGAAGGUUAGCACUUCCCGUAACAAGGAUGGAAGAGACCCUUGGGCCUAACAACACGCAUGCGUUAAAGGUAAUGCCAGCUACUUCAUGGCAUCUAACCACUGUUUAU